rnacentral:rRNA from 1 species
GACGAACGCUGGCGGCGUGCCUAACACAUGCAAGUCGAACGCCCUUUCCGCGAGGGGAGGGAGUGGCGGACGGGUGAGGAACACGUGGGUAACCUGCCCUGCAGUGGGGGAUACCGGUGCGAAAGCGCCGACAAUCCCGCAUGCGCUCUGGGAGCGGGAGCGAGCAGAGGAAAGCUUGAGGCUGGAGGGCCUUGGGCGCUGCAGGAGGGGCCUGCGUCCGAUUAGCUGGUUGGUGGGGUAAGAGCCUACCAAGGCGACGAUCGGUAGCUGGUCUGAG